rnacentral:tRNA from 1 species
UGGCUCAGUCAGUAGAGCAUGAGACUUUUGAUCUCAGGGUCAUGAGUUCGAGCCCUCUU